GGUAACAACAGGAACUGUGAAGUGUGAUGUACGGUACGAGAUUUGUUACUUUCACGAGAUUGAUGGCGACCUUUCCCGUUACAAAUUUGCAUUGAAUUCGACUGCAGUAUCAUUUCGGGAAAGUACAGGUACGAUGAGCGUACGGACAGCCGAAUAGUCAUACUAGAACUACUCAGCCAAAUAUUAGUCUAGAACUACUCAUACAGUUAUUACGAAAGAUCUGAAAGGUAAAUACGUAUACAGAUAUGUGCAGUUAUAGUGAACACAAUUAAGUCUCUUUUUACAAACAUUUUCACGUACAGAGUACAUGUAAUGGCAGUGUACAAUACACUUCAUGCACACUGGUUGCUCAUGGCGAACAGCCACGCUUUUGUAUGCUUUCCUUAUUCAGAAAACAGUCAAUGUUGAUUUGUAGAGAUUUCUGGAAGAAGUUCUGCGUACCGAUACAUAUUUUAGAUAAGUUUCUGAGAAUUCUGACUUUGAUGCUUCAGCUUCAUUUAUGGCAGAGAAACAAGUCGGCCAUUUGCCACUGUUCUGUUAACAGGAACAGGAUCGUAACUUUGGCGCAGUUUAGCUUCAAGCCAGUAGGUUUCCAUAUUUCCUUUGCCCUAGAUCCGUUGAAAGCAAAUAGUCAGAAGAGAGGAUAACUUAAAGUUGACUCAUAGGAGAUGUAGUAGUAGACUUUUUAUAUUCAUGACAGUGCUUGAGUGGGCCGAUUGAAUUAAAAUGUAAGCUACUUGUUACUUUUACCGUUAAUAAUUAAUGUCGUUUUUUAACAAGUGCUUGGACAAUGUGUUACGAGUACCUUGAUCUCUACGGAACCUCUGGGAAUAAUUUCAAACAGCGGAGAAUGUGCCAGCAUUGCCACUGCUGUUGGACUGAUAUGAAUUUUUUGGGCUACAAUAAUAGAGAAACAAAAUCUUUUAAAGUAAAGAAUGUUCGCAGUUUGGCACUAACGUUCGCUGGUCGUCAUCAUCCGUGAUGCAAUGUUGACGGUAUCCCCAAAUCUGUUGCAAAAAUUUAAAAAAGCGCCUUUGAUGUUACAAAUCAACAAUAACCACCGCGUUUCCUAUAUAUAAUCUCAUACAGGCAAUAUCUAGGAAGACGUUGGCCAAUUAUUCCACCAGCCAAAGGACCUGCAACGCGUAAAAGGAGAAUGGUUUAAAAAGGAACUUUUCAGCCUUAUAUCACAUGCGCGUUUACAUUCCCGCGUUUAACUGGUCACUUUGCAUAUGGAAAGUAUUUUUUAACAAAACCAGUGUAAAAAUUAUCGUUCUUGUAUCAAACUAGCCUAUCCACGUGCAAUCCUAAAGGUUACGGUGGUGGAUUUGAAAAGUAUCUUUAUUUGUCAUGGACGUAGCUGGCAGAACCACAGUGCAAGCAUAUUAUCUUACCGGAAUGAAUUCCUUCGCGAAGGUUAACACUGAUCCCACCAAAGGUAGCUCUUCGGACCAUCCGCAUAAUUCCACAACAGGCUAAGCCAACCUGUGUCGCGUGCUCUUGACCAUUGCGUUUCGGAACUCCACUAGCCAGCUAAAGCCCAGUGUCCAGGGGCGUUUGAAGAGACGUAAUUACAGCAAAUCCCCAGACUUCUGUAAAGGCUACAGUCGUGUUUGUGAACAUUUCGGCAUCUACUGGUCGUCCAGCAAUUUCAGUUUUAACACUGUUAAUGCUUUGGAUUGCACAACCUGAGAUUCCAAAUCUUCGGCGUACUUUUCCAGCCGACGUAUGACCAUGUCCACAUACGAGUAGCCUUUGUACAUCGCCGUCUGAUUUUGGAUUGCAUUCAAAGCGGCAAGGAAUGUUGGACGCUUUGAUGGGUCCGCUUGCCAACAUGCUUCCAUUAACAGCGUCACUUCGAUGGGAUGGUUCACUGGUUGAUAAGGCGGGCGAAUGGUACCGUGUUGGGGCGACAGAAGCGAAAGAAUUAGUUCUGUCGGGUAACAAAUAAACAAUCUUAACAGCUUCUUCUAACGAAGUCAGCAGCAACGAAACACCUUGAGAUUGCACUUAAUAAAACUUUUAUGUGCUGUCAGUGAAGAUAACCUUUUCGUUGUUUGCUCGUGCCGGUAUCUCUGCUUCCCGGUGACUGAUAUGGGUCGGCGUUGAACAGAGUCUCAUGCAUUAUUAUGCCAAAACUGUAAACAUCGCUCUCUUUGCUAAUUAUAUGCCGUGGGUCACGGAGCACUUCCGGUGCUGUCCACACGAGACAGUCGUAGUCCUCAUUCAUUAAAGCUUUCCGG